rnacentral:pre_miRNA from 12 species
AGAGUUCUGAGUUUAGAGGUUGCUUCAGUGAACAUUCAACGCUGUCGGUGAGUUUGGAAUUAAAAUCAAAACCAUCGACCGUUGAUUGUACCCUAUAGCUAACCAUCAUCUACUACUCCAUG